rnacentral:rRNA from 1 species
UACGAAGGGGCUAGCGUUGCUCGGAAUCACUGGGCGUAAAGGGUGCGUAGGCGGGUCUUUAAGUCAGGGGUGAAAUCCUGGAGCUCAACUCCAGAACUGCCUUUGAUACUGAAGAUCUUGAGUUCGGGAGAGGUGAGUGGAACUGCGAGUGUAGAGGUGAAAUUCGUAGAUAUUCGCAAGAACACCAGUGGCGAAGGCGGCUCACUGGCCCGAUACUGACGCUGAGGUGCGAAAGCGUGGGGAGCAACAGGG